rnacentral:rRNA from 1 species
CCUACGGGGGGCAGCAGUGAGGAAUAUUGGUCAAUGGACGAGAGUCUGAACCAGCCAAGUAGCGUGAAGGAUGACUGCCCUAUGGGUUGUAAACUUCUUUUAUAUGGGAAUAAAAUGUUCCACGUGUGGGAUUUUGUAUGUACCAUAUGAAUAAGGAUCGGCUAACUCCGUGCCAGCAGCCGCGGUAAUACGGAGGAUCCGAGCGUUAUCCGGAUUUAUUGGGUUUAAAGGGAGCGUAGGUGGAUUGUUAAGUCAGUUGUGAAAGUUUGCGGCUCAACCGUAAAAUUGCAGUUGAAACUGGCAGUCUUGAGUACAGUAGAGGUGGGCGGAAUUCGAGGUGUAGCGGUGAAAUGCUUAGAUAUAACGAAGAACUCCGAUUGCGAAGGCAGUUCACUGGACUGCAACUGACACUGAGGCUCGAAAGUGUGGGUAUCAAACAGGAUUAGAGACCCCAGUAGUC